CUGGCCCUAAACGAUGAAUGCUUGGUGUGGCGGGUAUCGAUCCCUGCCGUGCCGAAGCUAACGCAUUAAGCAUUCCGCCUGGGGAGUACGGUCGCGAGGCUGAAACUCAAAGGAAUUGACGGGGGCCCGCACAAGCGGUGGAGCAUGUGGUUCAAUUCGACGCAACGCGAAGAACCUUACCCAGGCUUGAACAGCGAGUGACCACUCCUGAAAGGGAGCUUCCGCAAGGACACUCGUAGAGGUGCUGCAUGGCUGUCGUCAGCUCGUGUCGUGAGAUGUUGGGUUAAGUCCCGCAACGAGCGCAACCCUUGUCUUCUGUUGCCAUCAGGUUAUGCUGGGCACUCUGGAGAGACUGCCGGUGAUAAACCGGAGGAAGGU
rnacentral:rRNA from 1 species